rnacentral:rRNA from 1 species
AUUGAACGCUGGCGGCAGGCCUAACACAUGCAAGUCGAACGGUAACAGGAAGAAGCUUGCUUCUUUGCUGACGAGUGGCGGACGGGUGAGUAAUGUCUGGGAAACUGCCUGAUGGAGGGGGAUAACUACUGGAAACGGUAGCUAAUACCGCAUAACGUCGCAAGACCAAAAAGGGGGACCUUCGGGCCUCUUGCCAUCGGAUGUGCCCAGAUGGGAUUAGCUAGUAGGUGGGGUAACGGCUCACCUAGGCGACGAUCCCUAGCUGGUCUGAGAGGAUGACCAGCCACCCUGGAACUGAGACACGGUCCAGACUCCUACGGGAGGCAGCAGUGGGGAAUAUUGCACAAUGGGCGCAAGCCUGAUGCAGCCAUGCCGCGUGUAUGAAGAAGGCCUUCGGGUUGUAAAGUACUUUCAGCGGGGAGGAAGGGAGUAAAGUUAAUACCUUUGCUCAUUGACGUUACCCGCAGAAGAAGCACCGGCUAACUCCGUG